CAGCCGCCACGGUAAUACGAAGGGUGCAAGCGUUACUCGGAAUUACUGGGCGUAAAGCGUGCGUAGGUGGUGGUUUAAGUCCGUUGUGAAAGCCCUGGGCUCAACCUGGGAAUUGCAGUGGAUACUGGAUCACUAGAGUGUGGUAGAGGAUAGUGGAAUUUCCGGUGUAGCAGUGAAAUGCGUAGAGAUCGGAAGGAACAUCUGUGGCGAAGGCGACUAUCUGGGCCAACACUGACACUGAGGCACGAAAGCUAGGGGAGCAAAUGGGAUUAGAUACCCAGUAGUCCCUGUCUCUUAUACC
rnacentral:rRNA from 1 species